rnacentral:rRNA from 1 species
AACGCUGGCGGCGUGCCUAAUACAUGCAAGUCGAGCGAACGGACGAGAAGCUUGCUUCUCUGAUGUUAGCGGCGGACGGGUGAGUAACACGUGGAUAACCUACCUAUAAGACUGGGAUAACUUCGGGAAACCGGAGCUAAUACCGGAUAAUAUUUUGAACCGCAUGGUUCAAAAGUGAAAGACGGUCUUGCUGUCACUUAUAGAUGGAUCCGCGCUGCAUUAGCUAGUUGGUAAGGUAACGGCUUACCAAGGCAACGAUGCAUAGCCGACCUGAGAGGGUGAUCGGCCACACUGGAACUGAGACACGGUCCAGACUCCUACGGGAGGCAGCAGUAGGGAAUCUUCCGCAAUGGGCGAAAGCCUGACGGAGCAACGCCGCGUGAGUGAUGAAGGUCUUCGGAUCGUAAAACUCUGUUAUUAGGGAAGAACAUAUGUGUAAGUAACUGUGCACAUCUUGACGGUACCUAAUCAGAAAGCCACGGCUAACUACGUGCCAGCAGCCGCGGUAAUACGUAGGUGGCAAGCGUUAUCCGGAAUUAUUGGGCGUAAAGCGCGCGUAGGCGGUUUUUUAAGUCUGAUGUGAAAGCCCACGGCUCAACCGUGGAGGGUCAUUGGAAACUGGAAAACUUGAGUGCAGAAGAGGAAAGUGGAAUUCCAUGUGUAGCGGUGAAAUGCGCAGAGAUAUGGAGGAACACCAGUGGCGAAGGCGACUUUCUGGUCUGUAACUGACGCUGAUGUGCGAAAGCGUGGGGAUCAAACAGGAUUAGAUACCCUGGUAGUCCACGCCGUAAACGAUGAGUGCUAAGUGUUAGGGGGUUUCCGCCCCUUAGUGCUGCAGCUAACGCAUUAAGCACUCCGCCUGGGGAGUACGACCGCAAGG